GACAGAGGGUGCAAGCGUUGUUCGGAAUCAUUGGGCGUAAAGGGCGCGUAGGCGGUCAGGUAAGUCAACUGUGAAAGCCCAGGGCUCAACCUUGGAAGUGCAGCUGAAACUACCUGACUAGAGUCUCGGAGAGGGUGGUGGAAUUCCCAGUGUAGAGGUGAAAUUCGUAGAUAUUGGGAGGAACACCAGUGGCGAAGGCGGCCAACUGGUCCGGUACUGACGCUGAGGUGCGAAAGCGUGGGGAGCAAACA
rnacentral:rRNA from 1 species